ensembl:lncRNA
AAGGCUGGGGGCGGGCUUUUCGGCCCGCUCCGCGCGCUGAUUGGUUGAGCCGCUGCGGGCGGGAAGAGGGGCUGUGGGGGCGCGUUCCCGGCGUGCACCGCGCGGCUGUGAGGGGAGAGGGUCGGAGGGGAACUGGGGCCCAGCAGGUGCCACCAAUGGCUGAGGGUCCCCCGGAGCCACCGGGUACUGGUGAGCACUGCUCCCUCUGUCACUGAGGUGUCACCUCCCAUCCCUGGAUGUCACUCAGGUGUCACCCCCUGUCACAUUGGUGUCACCCCCGUGUCCCCCGCAGGUCUGCAGGGCCUCAUCCCCCCAUCACACUUCACGCUCCGUCCCCCUGCCCCCAGCACCAGACCCCAUUGCUGCUCCGUGCGCAGCUCAGCGCUCUCAGCCACAUCCUGACCCUGCAGGAGCGCGAGCUGAACCGGGAGCUGCCCCCCCCCCGGCUGCAGGCGCUGCUGGGGCGAUGGCGGCAGAAGGUCUUCGCCCUCCUGGUGCAGCUGCGGGUGCAGGAUGAGAGCCAGCAGGUGCAGCGCCUGGCACAGGAGGUGACACGGGAGCGGGGCCGGGCGGAGGCGGCUGAACAGGCACUGAGGGGGCUGUCCCAUGCGGCCACCAGGUUGGCUGUGGUGGUGACACGCUGUGAGGAUGAGGUGAUGGCGGCCAUCGGGGCCAUGGCUGCACUCAGCGACCGCCUGCACCGCGCCGGGCAGCGGCUGAGGGUCCUGCAGGGGCUGGUGGCCCCGGAUCGGCCGCGGUGGCAGCGGGAGGCAGCGGGUGAGACGGCCGCGGUGACACGAGGAACCCAUCGGCUCACAGGGAUGGGGGCUGAGCUGCAGCAUGGCGUGUCCCCACCGUGUCCAGUUGUUGUCACCUCCACCGCAGGGGUGGCCCCGGAGCGGGUGACGGAGGAUGGGGUGACACAGGAUGGGAUAGACAAUGAGGUCACUUCCCACGGGGACAGCGCAGGCCCUGCCCACAGCAGAGUGGCGCUGUGCUCCCUGGUGGCUGAGCUGCAGGCGAUGGGCGCUGCCAUCCUUGGGGACCCCCCCUGACCCCCCCGGCGCGGUGUCCCGGUGAGUGUCCCCUCGUGCCACCCCCCCCCAGUGACAGUGACAGCAGCCCGGCCGCACAGCGCUUCCUUUGGGUUUAUUUUACGCAUUUUCCCCUUUUGGGGGCCCAAUAAAGUUGGUGGUGUGAUAUCGUUGGUGGCACCGCGUCCCUGGGGGGGGGGCGGGGGGUGGGAGAGUCCUCGGGGUCUGAGCGGGCGUGGGGGGUCCCCAAGGAUGGGAGGGGAUAUUGGGGUAACCACGGGGUCAUGAGGGGACGUUGGCGUCCCCAGGAGGUGGCACUGGGACUUCCACAGGGACAGGAGGGGACAUUGGGGUUCCCAUGGGGACAUGAGGGGACGCUGGGGUCUGUAGGUGACAUGGGCCCCAUAUCCCCCAACCCCCCCAUAUCCCCCAACCCCCCCAUGUCCCCCUACACUCCUAUCUCCAUCCCUCUUCCUAUUCCUCCCGUCCCACCUUAUCC